rnacentral:rRNA from 1 species
GGAUCUUCGGAUCCUGAGGCCAAAGAUCGCACCGGCUUGCCGGUGCUGUCUCCAGGGGAUGGGCCCGCGUCCGAUUAGCUAGUUGGYGAGGUAAUGGCUCACCAAGGCUACGAUYGGUAGCUGGUCUGAGAGGAUGAUCAGCCACACUGGAACUGAAACACGGUCCAGACUCCUACGGGAGGCAGCAGUGAGGAAUAUUGCGCAAUGGGGGAAACCCUGACGCAKCAACGCCGCGUGGGUGAAGAAGGCCUUCKGGUUCGUAAAGCCCUUUUGGACGGGACGAACGCUUUGCGGCGAAAGCCGCGGAGUCUGACGGUACCGUAGGAAGAAAGCACCGGCUAACUCCGUGCCAUCAGCCGCUGGUAAUACGGAKGGUUCGAGCGUUKUUCCGAAUUACUGGGCGUAAAAGCGCGUGUAGGCGGUCYUUGUCAAGUCAAGCGUUAAAAGCCCUUKGCCUUAACCC